GAUGAACGCUGGCGGCGUGCCUAAUACAUGCAAGUCGAGCGAACAGACGAGGAGCUUGCUCCUCUGACGUUAGCGGCGGACGGGUGAGUAACACGUGGAUAACCUACCUAUAAGACUGGGAUAACUUCGGGAAACCGGAGCUAAUACCGGAUAAUAUAUUGAACCGCAUGGUUCAAUAGUGAAAGACGGUUUUGCUGUCACUUAUAGAUGGAUCCGCGCCGAAUUAGCUAGUUGGUAAGGUAACGGCUUACCAAGGCAACGAUGCGUAGCCGACCUGAGAGGGUGACCGGCCACACUGGAACUGAGACACGGUCCAGACUCCUACGGGAGGCAGCAGUAGGGAAUCUUCCGCAAUGGGCGAAAGCCUGACGGAGCAACGCCGCGUGAGUGAUGAAGGUCUUCGGAUCGUAAAACUCUGUUAUUAGGGAAGAACAAAUGUGUAAGUAACUAUGCACGUCUUGACGGUACCUAAUCAGAAAGCCACGGCUAACUACGUG
rnacentral:rRNA from 1 species